rnacentral:RNase_P_RNA from 1 species
CCAGCCGGCCGGGCAGCCGCUGCCGCCAGUGCCGAAAGGCCGCGGUGGAGGAAAGUCCGGGCUCCAUGGAAACACGAUGCCGGAUAACUUCCGGCCGGGGAAACGGGUUAACCCGCCAACCCGAGGGAAAGUGCCACAGAAAGCAGACCACCGCAGCAUGCUGCGGCAAGGGUGAAAGGGUGGGGUAAGAGCCCACCGCGUCUCCGGCAACGGCGAUGGCAGGGCAAACCCCAUCGGGAGCAAGACCGAAUAGGGACAACGCGCUUCCCCGAAAGGGGGGCAGGCAUGUUUUCAGGCCAGUUGUCCGGGUGGGUCGCGCCGAGGCAUCCGGUAACGGAUGUCCCAGAGGAAUGGCCGCCACGUCCGCGCGGGAAACCGUGCGGGCCAUACAGAACCCGGCUUACAGGCCGGCUGGUGCU